rnacentral:rRNA from 1 species
AUUGAACGCUGGCGGCAUGCUUUACACAUGCCAGUCGAACGGCAGCGCGGGCUUCGGCCUGGCGGCGAGUGGCGAACGGGUGGGUAAUGCAUCGGAACGUGCCCAGUAGUGGGGGAUAGCCCGGCGAAAGCCGGAUUAAUACCGCAUACGACCUGAGGGUGAAAGCGGGGGACCGAAAGGCCUCGCGCUAUUGGAGCGGCCGAUGUCGGAUUAGCUAGUUGGUGGGGUAAAGGCUUACCAAGGCGACGAUCCGUAGCUGGUCUGAGAGGACGACCAGCCACGCUGGGACUGAGACACGGCCCAGACUCCUGCGGGAGGCAGCAGUGGGGAAUUUUGGACAAUGGGGGCAACCCUGAUCCAGCCAUGCCGCGUGCGGGAAGAAGGCCUUCGGGUUGUAAACCGCUUUUGUUCGGGAAGAAAUCCUCUGGGCUAAUACCCCGGGGGGAUGACGGUACCGGAAGAAUAAGCACCGGCUAACUACGUG